rnacentral:rRNA from 1 species
GUGGGGAAUAUUGGACAAUGGGCGCAAGCCUGAUCCAGCAAUGCCGCGUGAGUGAUGAAGGCCUUAGGGUUGUAAAGCUCUUUCGCACGCGACGAUGAUGACGGUAGCGUGAGAAGAAGCCCCGGCUAACUUCGUGCCAGCAGCCGCGGUAAUACGAAGGGGGCUAGCGUUGUUCGGAAUUACUGGGCGUAAAGGGCGCGUAGGCGGCCUGUUUAGUCAGAAGUGAAAGCCCCGGGCUCAACCUGGGAAUAGCUUUUGAUACUGGCAGGCUUGAGUUCCGGAGAGGAUGGUGGAAUUCCCAGUGUAGAGGUGAAAUUCGUAGAUAUUGGGAAGAACACCGGUGGCGAAGGCGGCCAUCUGGACGGACACUGACGCUGAGGCGCGAAAGCGUGGGGAGCAA